GAUGAACGCUAGCGGCAGGCCUAACACAUGCAAGUCGAGGGGUAACUAGAGUGAUAGCAAUAUUACUUUGGCUAGACCGGCGCACGGGUGCAUAACACGUAUGCAACCUACCUUAUACUGGGGAAUAACUUCGAGAAAUCGGCGCUAAUACCCCAUAACAUUGCGAAGAGGCAUCUCUUUGCAAUUAAAGCUCCGGCGGUAUAAGAUGGGCAUGCGUCCAAUUAGCUAGUUGGUGAGGUAACGGCUCACCAAGGCUACGAUUGGUAGGGGUUCUGAGAGGAUGUUCCCCCACACUGGUACAGAGACACGGACCAGACUCCUACGGGAGGCAGCGGUGAGAAAUAUUGCGCAAUGGACGAAAGGCUGACGCAGCCAUGCCGCGUGCAGGAUGACGGCCCUAUGGGUUGUAAACUGCUUUUGUACGGGAAUAAACCCUUCUACGUGUAGGGGGCUGAAGGUACCGUAAGAAUAAGCACCGGCUAACUCCGUGCCAGCAGCCGCCGUAA
rnacentral:rRNA from 1 species